rnacentral:rRNA from 1 species
CUACGACAAAUGUUCCACGUUGAAUGCGCCAGUUCUCGUCCGAUCACUGAAGUUAAGCAACCGUGAGAGUGGUCAGUACCUAGAUGAGUGACCGUCUGUUUUUUUUUUCUUUUCUGAGU